rnacentral:rRNA from 1 species
GACGAACGCUGGCGGCGUGCCUAAUACAUGCAAGUCGAGCGAAGGUUUUCUGAGCUUUCCACCGGGAAGAUUUCGGCGGAAGGGUGAGUGACACGUGUAUAGCACACCCAUAAUAGAGGGGGAACAUCGUGAGACACGAUAGAAUAUCGCAGAAAAUAGUAAUAAGCACGUGGCAGAAGUUUAAAAGUUUGUUUUUGUAACACAUAGAGAUAGCUGCGCUGCAUUAGCUAGUUGGUAAGGUAACGGCCUACCAAGGCAACGAUGCAUAGCCGACCUGAGAGGGUGAUCGGCCACACUGGAACUGAGACACGGCCCAGACUCCUACGGGAGGCAGCAGUAGGGAAUCUUCCGCAAUGGGCGAAAGCCUGACGGAGCAACGCCGCGUGAGUGAAGAAGGUCUUCGGUUCGUAAAGCUCUGUUGUUAGGGAAGAACGUUUGUGUAAUAAAUUGACACCGUAUUGACGGUACCUAACCAGAAAGCCACGGCUAACUACGUG